ensembl:lncRNA
AAGUAAAGGGAAGUUCAUUGUGGUUUUUAUAUGAAGUCUGUUUCAAUUCCUUCUGUUUGAUUUGUUCGUUACAAACAGCGGAAAGUCUUUAAAUUUUGACAAUGAAUCUGAUAUGCAGUGGGGGUCGAAUAAUAAUUUUGACUACAACUGUACAGGGUGUCCCAAAAGUCUCCAUACACAAGGGACUGAAUAUGUUUGCCAGCAACACGUAGGUUGUGCCUUCGGCAGUGGAAGUUCAUGGAGGUCCACUUCCAGGUCGGUCCGCAACACUUCCAGUCUUUUUGAAUUUGUUCAUUAGUUCAACCAUCGAUCAGUGCCCUGAAUACUGAACUAGGGAGCUGGUUCAGACACACCCAGAGAAUGUUCCAUGAUGCCCUUAUUAUUGCUUAAUACAAAGUAGGUUACAGAUUUCGGUAUUAGGCUCGGUGAAUACCAAAAAACUUACCUGUAGUUGGACUGAGAAAAUUAUAUCGAUGGCUUGUUAAUCAAAGAUAUCGACCGUAUGAUCACUACUGAACGGUUUUCUUAUGGAAAAUGGACAACAGAACAAAUAAUAGCAGAGUAUAGAGAUGUCGUUACAGGUCAUGGCUGUCCGGACAGGGAAUUCUACAUGCCCUCUUUAAAGUGUGAGACACUUCCAGAGAGAAGACUGACCUGAUGAAUCCUGAAAAAGGAGCUGGUAAAUCUUCAUAGGCUGGGAAUCAUCACGAAUUGAGAUGCUAACUUGACACUGUUCUGACAAAAGAGUGCAACAAGAAGAAGAUUUGUUGUUUACUGUUGUGACAUUUUGUAUUUUGUGCUGUAGUACUCAGAAAACGUUGUAACUGUACAUGUACAUUAGGGGAAAAAAUCAGUGCUGCGCCAUCUUACUUUACUACAUGUGAUGGACCUUUGAAGGUAGUUUGGAAAAUAAUAUGUACUUACAAUAUUUUUCAUAAUGUGUCAUAUUUGCUGAUGCGGAGCUCCUGAAGACGGUAUCCUUUUUUAUGGUUAAACAAUAAUGACCAUGGCUCCCAUAGGUUAUUGGUGUGUAAAUGUUUUUAUGAUUUAAAAAAAAAAGGGAUUAGGUCAUCUAAUGGGACUCUGCUUCAAUUCCACCUUUUACUAUUCUUAAUAGUCACAGGAAAAUGUAUAAUAGGAGUUUGGAACUGUUAGGAUUUCGAAAGCAUUAUCAGGGAGUACAUAAAAACAUGUUUAUCAAGUAAUGGCUCUCUUAAUCAUUGAAAGCACCCAACCUUGAACCACAGUCAUCAUUCUGAAAUGCAUGCCUCCCUGCUCGCUGAGCCACCAGUACAAACACAAACCUGCUCCUAUGGGUCAUGCAGAAGGCAAAACCUUAACAAGCACUGGAUUACUUGUGGGUUAUUGGACAAUGGUAUUCAGGAUAAACACUAAGGUAGGUGAAGCCUUGUGGCUCUGUGGGAAUGCACUUGCCUCCCAUUGUUGUAGUUGAUGGUUCAAAUCCCCCUUGUGGGUUUCCCCCCCCCCUUUGGUGACAGUUAAAAAGGAUAAAUAUGUUUAACCAAAAAGAUUUUCAGUUAGAGUUCAUGUCAACGAUGGUGUUCCAGAAGGUGUGGGUUCUCUUCUACCUUUUGGCUACACGUGUGCCAUCGCUAUCCCUUGGUGGUGUAGUGGUUAGAGUUCAUGUGUGUGGGUUUUCAGGUUAUAACCCUCCUUUUGGCAGGUUCAAGAAUCAAAAGUGAUGCUGUGGAAGUAUGAAGGUGUGAUGGAGGGAGUGGUGUGUAGGCCUCUGUGGCUCAGUUGGCUAAGUCGUGAGUGCUGUGGAGCAGAAGGUGCUUGGAUCAAAACCCAGAAGGAGUGGCGUGGUUGGAGUUUGAGGGAUUGAGAGCAUGGAGGUGAGUGAGUGUCUGGUGCUCUAGCAGUUGUAGGUUGGGAGAUAGGUUGAGGAAGGGGUUGAGGAAGGGGUAGAGGAUUGGGUGAGUGAGUGUCUUGUGCUCUAGCAGUGGUAGGUUGAGGAAGGGGUUGAGGAUUGUCAAGUCACUUGUAGAAGUGGUGGAGUACAGAUGAGGGAUGUUCACUCAAGGGUGAGAGAGGGAGGACUAGGUUGGGUGUAAAAGAGAGGUUGAGUGGGUAUGAGCUCAGGAUGUGGUGGAGCAAGGUUGUGCUGUGAAGGAGGUAGGAGAGUGCACACCCUACAGUGCAGACCAAGAAUGUGUGGUGAGGGGUGUGCACUGGGGGCUGGUGGAGAGGAAGAGCCAGGCCUCACUUUUAUAAAAGGAAAUUACCCUGCUACAGCCCUAAUAGUAAUAAUAUAUUCUUAAAUGGCUUGGGAUCACAGGGUCUACUAAUAGGAAGAAUAAAUGUAAUAUCUACAGCUCCACUGCUGGCUCUCACACACCCCACUUCCUGAGACUCUACCUCUAUUCCUUUCCUACACCUAUCCCCCAGCUCCCUUCCCCUGGGUACACAGCCCCUGACUUUUUAGCCACACUCUCUGUUUGCUCUCCAGGCUGUGCACCCAGCUCUUCUUGGGACUCCACCUCUACCCUCCUCCCUACACCAGCUCCCCUGAGGUACCUGACACUCUACCUCCAACCACCACCUUCCUGCACCCAUCUAGCCUCCACCCACUUACAACUCCUCCUGGAACACCACCUACAACCACCAGAGUACCCUUCCUACACCAUUCACCCCACCACUACCACCACCACUACUACUACU